rnacentral:rRNA from 1 species
AACGUAGGAGACAAACGUUGAUCCGGAGUUACUGGGGCGUAAAGGGCGGUGUAAGGGUGGUUACGUAAGUCUGGCGUGAAAAUUUCUCGGCUUAAACCGAGGCAGGUCGUCCGGAUACUGCGGGUACAGAGGACGGUAGAGGCGUGUGGAAUUCCGGGUGUAGUGGUGAAAUGCGUAGAGAUCCGGAGGAACACCAGUGGCGAAGGGCGACA